GACGAACCGUGCGAACGUUGUUCGGAAUCACUGGGCUUAAAGGGCGCGUAGGUGGUCUGUCAAGUCGAGGGUGAAAUCUUUCGGCUCAACCGGAAAACUGCCUUCGAUACUGACAGGCUAGAGGGAGAUAGGGGUUGCGGGAACUACCAGUGGAGCGGUGAAAUGCGUUGAUAUUGGUAGGAACGCCGGUGGCGAAAGCGCGCAACUGGACCUCUUCUGACACUGAGGCGCGAAAGCUAGGGGAGCAAACGGG
rnacentral:rRNA from 1 species